ensembl:snRNA U1 U1 spliceosomal RNA
AUCCUUACCUGGCAGUGGAGAUGCCAUGAUCACCAAGGUGUCUUUUCCGGGACAACGUUUAUCCAUUGCACUCUACAUGUGCUGAUUCCUGAGAUUUCCCCAAAUGUGGGCAACUCAACUGGAAAUAAC